UCCGGGACAGUUUAGUAAACUGUCCGGGACAGUUUCGGGACAGUUUAGUAAACUGUCCGGGACAGUUUACAAACCGUCCCGGACGGUUUCUAAACUGUCCCGGACAGUUUAGAAUAGUUUUGGACCAGUUCGUACACCAUACUGCCAUACUGUUUUUAGAGUUAACAACUAACAAAGAUUU